rnacentral:lncRNA from 1 species
AUUCUGGGAUAGAGCCAGGCACGGGAGAUGCACACGGGAAGAUGUGACAAGGCGGACGCUUGGUGCCUGAGCACAGGCAUUCCCCUGCCCCUGCUCCCACGUGUCACAUACACACUGUGAACCAUAGAUUAUUAUUAGACCAUCACAAAGCGACAAGGACAGGAAUGGAAAAAAACCUGCAAGGCGAGAAGUGUGUCAGAGGAGCACCCUGGAAACGAGAAUUACUUCCGUGUAAUCAGAGAAGGUUAUUUCUGUAAGGAAAAAUAAAAACGAACAAACAGAAUCAACUGAAACUGUGGCUCCAGAACUCCCAGUAUCAGAGAAAGUCCUGUGAGGCUCCUUAGUCUGAAAUUCCU